GAUGAACGCUAGCGGCAGGCUUAAUACAUGCAAGUCGAGGGGCAGCAUGAAUGUAGCAAUACAUUUGAUGGCGACCGGCAAACGGGUGCGGAACACGUACACAACCUUCCUAUAAGUGGGGAAUAGCCCAGAGAAAUUUGGAUUAAUACCCCGUAACAUAAUGAUGUGGCAUCACAUUAUUAUUAUAGCUUCGGCGCUUAUUGAUGGGUGUGCGGCUGAUUAGAUAGUUGGCGGGGUAACGGCCCACCAAGUCUACGAUCAGUAGCUGAAGUGAGGGCAUGAUCAGCCACACGGGCACUGAGACACGGGCCCGACUCCUACGGGAGGCAGCAGUAAGGGAUAUUGGUCAAUGGACGCAAGUCUGAACCAGCCAUGCCGCGUGAAGGAUUAAGGUCCUCUGGAUUGUAAACUUCUUUUAUCUGGGACGAAAAAAGGCUAAUCUUAGUCACUUGACGGUACCAGAUGAAUAAGCACCGGCUAACUCCGUGCCAGCAGCCGCCGCCGUAA
rnacentral:rRNA from 1 species